rnacentral:rRNA from 1 species
AUACGGAAGGCAGCAGUGAGGAAUAUUGGUCAAUGGGCGCAAGCCUGAACCAGCCAUCCCGCGUGAAGGAAGAAGGCGCUAUGCGUUGUAAACUUCUUUUGCAGGUCAAGAAUGUUGUCUACGUGUAGGCAAUUGACGGUAACCUGUGAAUAAGCAUCGGCUAACUCCGUGCCAGCAGCCGCGGUAAUACGGAGGAUGCGAGCGUUAUCCGGAUUUAUUGGGUUUAAAGGGUGCGUAGGCGGAUAGAUAAGUCAGUGGUGAAAUCCUGCAGCUUAACUGUGGAAUUGCCGUUGAUACUGUCAGUCUUGAGUAUGGUUAAGGUAGGCGGAAUGUGUAAUGUAGCGGUGAAAUGCUUAGAUAUUACACAGAACACCGAUUGCGAAGGCAGCUUACUGAACCAUAACUGACGCUGAGGCACGAAAGCGUGGGGAGCGAACAGGAUUAGAUACCCGCGUAGUCC